rnacentral:rRNA from 1 species
GUGCAGCAGGCGAGAAACUUUACAAUGUGCGAAAGCACGAUAAGGGAACUCUGAGUGCCUCCUAAGGAGGCUGUUCAGGUGUCUAAAAGCACCUGGAGUAAGGGCUGGGUAAGACCGGUGCCAGCCGCCGCGGUAACACCGGCAGCCCAGGUGGUAGCCACUUUUAUUGGGUCUAAAGCGUCCGUAGCCGGUUGAGUAAGUUCCUUGGGAAAUUUGGCUGCUCAACAGUCAAGCUUCCAGGGAAUACUGCUCGACUUGGGACUGGGAGAGGUCAGAGGUACUCCAGGGGUAGGGGUGAAAUCCAUUAAUCCCUGGGGGACCACCGGUAGCGAAGGCGUCUGACCAGACCAGGUCCGACGGUGAGGGACGAAGGCUAGGGUCGCGAACCGGAUUAGAUACCCGGGUAGU